rnacentral:rRNA from 1 species
GACGAACGCUGGCGGCGUGCUUAACACAUGCCAGUCGAACGGAAAGGCCCUGCUUUUGUGGGGUGCUCGAGUGGAGAACGGGUGAGUAACACGUGAGUAACCUGCCCUUGACUUUGGGAUAACUUCAGGAAACUGGGGCUAAUACCGGAUAGGAGCGCCUGCUGCAUGGUGGGGGUUGGAAAGUUUCGGCGGUUGGGGAUGGACUCGCGGCUUAUCCGCUUGUUGGUGGGGUAGUGGCUUACCAAGGCUUUGACGGGUAGCCGGCCUGAGAGGGUGGCCGGCCACAUUGGGACUGAGAUACGGCCCAGACUCCUACGGGAGGCAGCAGUGGGGAAUAUUGCACAAUGGGCGGAAGCCUGAUGCAGCAACGCCGCGUGCGUGAUGACGGCCUUCGGGUUGUAAACCGCUUUCGCCUGUGACGAAGCGUGAGUGACGGUAAUGGGUAAAGAAGCACCGGCUAACUACGUG